UCGGGUGUGGUGUAUGGUGCAUGGCAGCGCUUUUUCGAGGGGAUACCUAGAUUGUUAGCUGCAGGGCGGGGUUCGACCCCCUGCACCCGAA